UUUGAUCAUGGCUCAGAUUGAACGCUGGCGGCAUGCCUUACACAUGCAAGUCGAACGGCAGCACGGGAGCAAUCCUGGUGGCGAGUGGCGAACGGGUGAGUAAUACAUCGGAACGUGCCCAGUAGUGGGGGAUAACCCGGCGAAAGCUGGGCUAAUACCGCAUAUGCUCUACGGAGGAAAGUGGGGGACCCGCAAGGACCUCACACUAUGGGAGCGGCCGAUGCCCGAUUAGCUUGUUGGUGAGGUAAAGGCUUACCAAGGCGACGAUCGGUAGCUGGUCUGAGAGGAUGAUCAGCCACACUGGGACUGAGACACGGCCCAGACUCCUACGGGAGGCAGCAGUGGGGAAUUUUGGACAAUGGGGGCAACCCUGAUCCAGCCAUGCCGCGUGCGGGAAGAAGGCCUUCGGGUUGUAAACCGCUUUUGUUCGGGAAGAAAAGACCACGGCUAAUACCUGUGGUUCUUGACGGUACCGGAAGAAUAAGCACCGGCUAACUACGUGCCAGCAGCCGCGGUAAUACGUAGGGUGCGAGCGUUAAUCGGAAUUACUGGGCGUAAAGCGUGCGAAUGU
rnacentral:rRNA from 1 species